UACGUAGGGGGCGAGCGUUGUCCGAAUUUACUGGGCGUAAAGCGCGCGUAGGCGGUUUCUUAAGUCUGGGGUGAAAGGUUCAACGCUCAACGUGAACAGUGCCUUGGAUACUGGGAGACUUGAGUCUGGGAGGGGGUAGUGGAAUUCCUGGUGUAGCGGUGAAAUGCGUAGAUAUCGAAAAGAACACCAACGGCGAAAGCACUCUGUUGGGCCGACACUGACACUGAGAGACGAAAGCUAGGGGAGCGAAUGGG
rnacentral:rRNA from 1 species